rnacentral:rRNA from 1 species
GACGAACGCUGGCGGCGUGCUUAACACAUGCAAGUCGAACGGUGAUGGGUGGAGCUUGCUCUGCUUUGAUCAGUGGCGAACGGGUGAGUAACACGUGAGUAACCUGCCCCAGACUCUGGAAUAACCCCGGGAAACCGGUGCUAAUACCGGAUAUGACACAGAAUCGCAUGGUUUCUGUGUGGAAAGUUUUUCGGUUGGGGAUGGACUCGCGGCCUAUCAGCUUGUUGGUGAGGGAAUGGCUCACCAAGGCGCCGACGGGUAGCCGGCCUGUGAGGGCGACCGGCCACACUGGGACUGAGACACGGCCCAGACUCCUACGGGAGGCAGCAGUGGGGAAUAUUGCACAAUGGGCGCAAGCCUGAUGCAGCGACGCCGCGUGAGGGAUGAAGGCCUUCGGGUUGUAAACCUCUUUCAGCUCUGAAGAGGCGAAAGUGACGGUAGGAGCAGAAGAAGCACCGGCUAACUACGUGCCAGCCGCCGCGGUAA